ensembl:lncRNA
AGCACAGCUGAGGGCUGAAAUACGAGCCCUGCUCCCAAACUCUGUGUCGUACUGUACGACAGUUUCUCCAAUCCCACAGACCCCUGAGAUAGCGGGAGAGCUGUGAUUGGUUCCCUUACAUUACACAGUGGCUGUGAUCACUAUAAUAGAGAUGAUUCCUUCCAUUGCCAACCACAUGUGGCUUUAGACUGCAGCAUGAAAGCAUAAUGGUUUUUGUUUUAGGCAGACCAUCGCCUUAGUGAGGUAUGUAAACAAACAGCUAAAUGUAGUUUGGAUGAGAAUAGGCCUAAAUUGACUUGACAAAUAAUACAAAUUCUUCAAUUCCUGUGCUGUCUGCCUCUAAAUUCUUGUCUCUAGAUAGAACUCUGCAUCUUCUCCAUGACAUUUAAUGUUUUUUUCCAAUGUUUUUGUGUUUCAGUCAGAAGGAAAUGUGCUGGUUGAGGUGACUGGAGACAAAGAUUCCCAACUUGGGUUGGUCUUCGAGGAGGAACGUGAAAACAGUUUUACUUCUCAAAGGAUCUCGGCUUACAUUAGUGACAAGAAUUUAACUGACAGUGUGAGUGGCGAGGAGCGGCAUCACAGUUCCGAUGUUGCUCUCCACACAUGUCCCUCUCAAUCGAACAGUCACGUGUCUUCUGAGGUGGGACUUGCUGAAGGAAAUGAAUCGCUUGGGCAUUUUAACACCAAGGACUGUACCGUGAAGCCAAGAGAAGAGGAAAGAAAUACAUUUCCACAGUUUAUUAUGCCAUUUGCUCCACUCGGUACUGGAAAUACUUUUCUUCAUCAUAGUCUAUUGAAAAGUCCACAGGCUGAUCUAGACCUUCCACCUAAAGGGAUUAUUAAUGAGAUACACCUUAAGAGUGAUCAAAAACCAAUCAGUAGUGAAGAUUCUUCUGAAGAUCGCUUUCAUACUUGGCCUGACCAAUCUUUAUCUUCAUCCUGUGGAGAUUCAGAUGAUCCUUCCAUCAAGGAUACAAGGAGAAAAGCAGGGUACACUGAUACCUGUGACAUCAACAAAGAAAUUUCUAAGUUAAUUUUACUCACUGGACAACGUUUUAUGGUAUCUGUGGACAAAAGUGUUGCAUAUGUAACUCUAGACUUGGAAGAACCCAAUUUAAGUCAGUUUUCUUUGUUAAACUGUGAGGAACGACUGAAAACAGACAACAUGCCUCACAAGACUUCCAAAACUUCUUUAGAUUGUAAAACACACUCGAAACAUAAGGAGAAGCCAGCAGAGAAGCAGCAACACAGGAUUCAAACCUCAAAAAAACAAGAUCUUCAACCCCCAUCCCAGGUGAAAGAUGAAUUCAAGUCAGAAGGAGGGGGCUGUGAAGAUCGUCCAGUUACUGUCGUUGAGACCAUCGUUAUCACAGAGAAGAUCGUUCCUAAAACCCAAGGGAAGAAGAAAAAGAAGUAUGCGCAGCAUGGGACGCCAAAGCCAGAGAAUGAUCAACUGACUGACUUAGGGAGCAGAAACACACAGAAGAGUGUGAGUGGCAAGACCGAGAACCUUGAUGUGAAGGUGAUGUCAAAUGGUCUGGAUAAACCAGCAGCUCAUCCUCCCAAUUUGGAGAUUACGAACAAACAAAGCAUUCAGAAAGUUAUGUCAGUGAGACCCAAAGUACACCCCAGUGGGAGUUUUGCAGCCAAGAUGGACCCUGACGGCGUAAAUGCCACCCAGAAAGCCACUCCUAUAAAACUCAGAGUAGAUGCCAUUAACACAGCCAUGAUGGAAAAUAAGACGUGCACCUCAGAUUCUCUGAGCACGUGUUUAUCCAGCAUGCUGAAUGAUGACAUCAAGCGCAGGCGAAUCACAGACAACUUGUCUGGGGCAGUUCCAAUAAGGACGAGGCCACAGCUGCCCGCAAUUUUCCGCCAGGCAAGAAAAGAUGGAGAAGAUACGACCCGGAGAGCUUACAGUGAGGUUGUCAAGCAGAAGACUUCAACACCCAAAGAAGGUUCUCCAAAUGCAUUCCUGUUCAACUUCAUAUUAAAUAUCAAUCCUUUUGAAAAGGGAUGUCCAAUUCUGCUCCCAGGGGCCUAAUGUCUGGCAGAGUUUAACUUCAAUCUGCCAAAAACACACUUGUUUUCCAGACCUUAAUUAUCUGGUUCAGGUGUGUUUGAUUAAAGCUAAACUCUCCAGGCCCUCCAGGAGCAGCACUGGACAUCCCUGCAUUGGAACAUUUUGUGUUUUUAUAGUAUGUGUUCCUGAGUCAGAAAUGUCAGAAUCAUCCAAUUUGACUCAGUCUGAUGUGGUUUGCUGGUCUUAGCUGGUUUAGCUUGUCUAUCAUUCUAGUUAAU